rnacentral:rRNA from 1 species
CCUACGGGUGGCUGCAGUGGGGAAUAUUGGACAAUGGGCGAAAGCCUGAUCCAGCCAUGCCGCGUGUGUGAAGAAGGCCUUCGGGUUGUAAAGCACUUUCAGUGGGGAAGAAAGCCUUGGGGCUAAUACCCUCGAGGAAGGACAUCACCCACAGAAGAAGCACCGGCUAACUCCGUGCCAGCAGCCGCGGUAAUACGGAGGGUGCGAGCGUUAAUCGGAAUUACUGGGCGGAAAGCGCGCGUAGGCGGUCUGAUAAGCCGGUUGUGAAAGCCCCGGGCUCAACCUGGGAACGGCAUCCGGAACUGUCAGGCUAGAGUGCAGGAGAGGAAGGUAGAAUUCCCGGUGUAGCGGUGAAAUGCGUAGAGAUCGGGAGGAAUACCAGUGGCGAAGGCGGCCUUCUGGACUGACACUGACGCUGAGGUGCGAAAGCGUGGGUAGCAAACAGGAUUAGAUACCCUUGUAGUC